AAGCUCUUUCCAGGUUAGAGCUCUCUGAUUCUCUGGCUCUCUUAUCCAGCCAGACAAACUAAGACUGGUAAGAACACGGAGCACCUUGUAAGAGUAUCUGCUUUGACAUCUGAUUUUGUGAUUAUAGAAAUGAGUUUUCAAAUCCAUCCUCUUUAGAAACAGAUAUUGAAAUUUGGAGCAGAAGGAACCCAGAGAUUGUCUAGUCUGGAGCUUUUAUUUUACAGGAAGUUGGCUUGAGCGGACUGAUCACAGGGAAUUAUGGGAUGAAACAAAAUGCAGAAAGAAAACCCGGAUUUGAGGGCCAAUCAAAUGGCACCCAGAAUGGGGUAAAGCCAAUCAGAAUUAAGGCAAAAUAAAAUGCUGCAGAAAAUCAGGCACAAGGGGCCAACCAAUCAAUGUAAAGGGCAAGCGUGUGGACAAGUCAUGAACCCAGG